rnacentral:rRNA from 1 species
AGUGAACGCUGGCGGUAGGCCUAACACAUGCAAGUCGAACGGCAGCACAGUAAGAGCUUGCUCUUACGGGUGGCGAGUGGAGGACGGGUGAGGAAUACAUCGGAAUCUACUUUUUCGUGGGGGAUAACGUAGGGAAACUUACGCUAAUACCGCAUACGACCUACGGGUGAAAGCAGGGGAUCUUCGGACCUUGCGCGAUUGAAUGAGCCGGUGUCGGAUUAGCUAGUUGGCGGGGUAAAGGCCCACCAAGGCGACGAUCCGUAGCUGGUCUGAGAGGAUGAUCAGCCACACUGGAACUGAGACACGGUCCAGACUCCUACGGGAGGCAGCAGUGGGGAAUAUUGGACAAUGGGCGCAAGCCUGAUCCAGCCAUACCGCGUGGGUGAAGAAGGCCUUCGGGUUGUAAAGCCCUUUUGUUGGGAAAGAAAAACAGCAGGUUAAUACCCCGCUGUUCUGACGGUACCCAAAGAAUAAGCACCGGCUAACUUCGUG